rnacentral:rRNA from 1 species
UUGACGGGACCCGCACAAGCAGCGGAGCGUGUGGUUUAAUUCGUUGCUACACGAAGAACCUUUACCUGGGUUUUGACAUAUAAGUUGUAGGGAACUGAAAAGGGACCGACCCUUCGGGGAGCUUAUACAGGUGUUGCAUGGCUGUCGUCAGCUCGUGUCGUGAGAUGUUCGGUUAAGUCCGCUAACGAGCGCAACCCUCGCCGUAUGCUACAAGUGUCAUACGGGACUGCCGGUAAAAGCCGGAGGAAGGUGAGGAUGAUGUCAAGUCAGCAUGACCUUUAUAUCCAGGGCUACACACACGCUACAAUGGUCUGUACAAUUGGUUGCCAAGCCGCGAGGCGGAGCCAAUCCGUAAAGCAGGCCUCAGUUCAGAUUGCAGUCUGCAACUCGACUGCAUGAAGCCGGAGUUGCUAGUAACCGCAGGUCAGCAAUACUGCGGUGAAUACGUUCCCGGGUCUU